AGUGAACGCUGGCGGUAGGCCUAACACAUGCAAGUCGAACGGCAGCACAGUAAGAGCUUGCUCUUACGGGUGGCGAGUGGCGGACGGGUGAGGAAUACAUCGGAAUCUACUUUUUCGUGGGGGAUAACGUAGGGAAACUUACGCUAAUACCGCAUACGACCUACGGGUGAAAGCAGGGGAUCUUCGGACCUUGCGCGAUUGAAUGAGCCGAUGUCGGAUUAGCUAGUUGGCGGGGUAAAGGCCCACCAAGGCGACGAUCCGUAGCUGGUCUGAGAGGAUGAUCAGCCACACUGGAACUGAGACACGGUCCAGACUCCUACGGGAGGCAGCAGUGGGGAAUAUUGGACAAUGGGCGCAAGCCUGAUACAGCCAUACCGCGUGGGUGAAGAAGGCCUUCGGGUUGUAAAGCCCUUUUGUUGGGAAAGAAAAGCAGCAGGUUAAGACCCCGCUGUUCUGACGGUACCCAAAGAAUAAGCACCGGCUAACUUCGUG
rnacentral:rRNA from 1 species